rnacentral:rRNA from 1 species
UACGUAGGCAGCGAGCGUUGUUCGGAGUUACUGGGCGUAAAGGGUGUGUAGGCGGUUCGUUAUGUCGGAUGUGAAAGCCCUUGGCUUAACCGAGGAAGUGCAUCCGAAACUGGCGAGCUAGAGUACGAAAGAGGAUCGCGGAAUUCCCGGUGUAGAGGUGAAAUUCGUAGAUAUCGGGAGGAACACCGGUGGCGAAGGCGGCGAUCUGGGUCGAUACUGACGCUGAGGCACGAAAGCGUGGGGAGCAAACAGG